GAUGAACGCUAGCGGGAGGCUUAAUACAUGCAAGUCGAACGGUAACAGGUCCUUCGGGAUGCUGACGAGUGGCGAACGGGUGCGUAACACGUACACGACCUACCUUCAAGAGGGGAAUAGCCCUGGGAAACUGGGAUUAAUACCGCAUAGUAUUAUUUGGCUGCAUGGCUGAAUAAUUAAAGCUUAGGCGCUUGAAGAUGGGUGUGCGUUCCAUUAGGUAGAUGGUGAGGUAACGGCUCACCAUGCCUACGAUGGAUAGCGGGUCUGGGAGGAUGAUCCGCCACACGGGCACUGAGACACGGGCCCG
rnacentral:rRNA from 1 species